GACGAACGCUGGCGGCGUGCCUAAUACAUGCAAGUUGAGCGCUGAAGGUUGGUACUUGUACCGACUGGAUGAGCAGCGAACGGGUGAGUAACGCGUGGGGAAUCUGCCUUUGAGCGGGGGACAACAUUUGGAAACGAAUGCUAAUACCGCAUAAAAACCUUAAACACAAGUUUUAAGUUUGAAAGAUGCAAUUGCAUCACUCAAAGAUGAUCCCGCGUUGUAUUAGCUAGUUGGUGAGGUAAAGGCUCACCAAGGCGAGGAUACAUAGCCGACCAGAGAGGGUGAUCGGCCACAGUGGGACUGGGACACGGCCCAAACUCCGACGGGAGGCAGCAGUAGGGAAUCUUCGGCAAUGGACGAAAGUCUGACCGAGCAACGCCGCGGGAGUGAAGAAGGUUUUCGGAUCGUAAAACUCUGUUGGUAGAGAAGAACGUUGGUGAGAGUGGAAAGCUCAUCAAGUGACGGUAACUACCCAGAAAGGGACGGCUAACUACGUGCCAGCCGCCGCCGUAA
rnacentral:rRNA from 1 species